rnacentral:rRNA from 1 species
CCUACGGGAGGCAGCAGUGAGGAAUAUUGGUCAAUGGGCACUAGCCUGAACCAGCCAAGUAGCGUGAAGGAUGAAUGCCCUAUGGGUUGUAAACUUCUUUUAUAUGGGAAUAAAGUGCAGUAUGUGUACUGCUUUGCAUGUACCUUAUGAAUAAGGAUCGGCUAACUCCGUGCCAGCAGCCGCGGUAAUACGGAGGAUCCGAGCGUUAUCCGGAUUUAUUGGGUUUAAAGGGAGCGUAGGUGGGUUGUUAAGUCAGUGGUGAAAGUUUGCGGCUCAACCGUAAAAUUGCAGUUGAUACUGGCAGCCUUGAGUAUAGUAGAGGUAGGCGGAAUUCGUGGUGUAGCGGUGAAAUGCUUAGAUAUCACGAAGAACUCCGAUUGCGAAGGCAGCCUGCUGGGCUAUAACUGACGCUGAUGCUCGAAAGUGUGGGUAUCAAACAGGAUUAGAUACCCUUGUAGUC